CACGCUCUCGGCUUUUUGUCGAUUCGCGAGGAGAGAUUCCCUCACUCUGUGCACCAAAACCCUAACCCUAGAUUCCCUUUCGUCGUCCUCCUCCUCCUCCUCGUUGCUCCAAAACCCUAACGCUAACCCAAGCCCUAGCCCUAGCCCUAGAUCCUUGAUGAGCCCUAUCUGGAGCCAUGCACAAGCUCUGGCGCGGAAGCUCGAGCCUCGGCAACCCCGCCGCCGCGUGGAUUGACGCGAAGGUCUCGCUCCUCCUCN
rnacentral:lncRNA from 1 species